AUUGCUUCUCGGCCUUUUGGCUAAGAUCAAGUGUAGUAUCUGUUCUUAACAGUUUAAAUUUCCGGAGUUAUGGAACAAAAAACAGAUAUGCACAAAUA
rnacentral:snRNA from 1 species